rnacentral:rRNA from 1 species
GUUAGGAAUUUUGGGCAAUGGGCGGAAGCCUGACCCAGCAACGCCGCGUGGGUGAUGAAGGCCCUCGGGUCGUAAAGCCCUUUUCCCAGGGAAGAUAGUGACGGUACCUGGGGAAUCAGCCCCGGCUAACUACGUGCCAGCAGCCGCGGUAAUACGUAGGGGGCAAGCGUUGUCCGGAUUUAUUGGGCGUAAAGCGCUCGCAGGUGGUUCGUUGCGUCGUGCGUGAAAGACCCUGGCUCAACUGGGGAGUGUCGUGCGAUACGGGCGGACUAGAGGCCAGUAGGGGGAUGCGGAAUUCCGGGUGUAGUGGUGGAAUGCGUAGAGAUCCGGAGGAACACCAGCGGCGAAGGCGGCAUCCUGGACUGGUCCUGACACUCAGGAGCGAAAGCGUGGGGAGCGAUCCGGAUUAGAUACCCGAGUAGUCC